GGAUUCAGCGGCGGACGGGUGAGUAAUGCCUAGGAAUCUGCCUGGUAGUGGGGGAUAACGUCCGGAAACGGGCGCUAAUACCGCAUACGUCCUGAGGGAGAAAGUGGGGGAUCUUCGGACCUCACGCUAUCAGAUGAGCCUAGGUCGGAUUAGCUAGUUGGUGGGGUAAAGGCCUACCAAGGCGACGAUCCGUAACUGGUCUGAGAGGAUGAUCAGUCACACUGGAACUGAGACACGGUCCAGACUCCUACGGGAGGCAGCAGUGGGGAAUAUUGGACAAUGGGCGAAAGCCUGAUCCAGCCAUGCCGCGUGUGUGAAGAAGGUCUUCGGAUUGUAAAGCACUUUAAGUUGGGAGGAAGGGCAGUAAGUUAAUACCUUGCUGUUUUGACGUUACCAACAGAAUAAGCACCGGCUAACUUCGUGCCAGCAGCCGCGGUAAUACGAAGGGUGCAAGCGUUAAUCGGAAUUACUGGGCGUAAAGCGCGCGUAGGUGGUUCAGCAAGUUGGAUGUGAAAUCCCCGGGCUCAACCUGGGAACUGCAUCCAAAACUACUGAGCUAGAGUACGGUAGAGGGUGGUGGAAUUUCCUGUGUAGCGGUGAAAUGCGUAGAUAUAGGAAGGAACACCAGUGGCGAAGGCGACCACCUGGACUGAUACUGACACUGAGGUGCGAAAGCGUGGGGAGCAAACAGGAUUAGAUANCCUGGUAGUCCACGCCGUAAACGAUGUCGACUAGCCGUUGGGAUCCU
rnacentral:rRNA from 1 species